AUGGUAAUUGUUCAAUACACAUUUGAUAAGAUGAAUGUGUACUUUCUAAAGCACUCAAUGGAAACGGAUGCGCAGAUAGCGGAUGAGAACAAGCGGAAGUACAAGUACCCCACCAAGGUUGAUGAAUGGUUCAAAUUUCAAUCACAGAAGGCGGAUUCACAAGAAGCUAUACUAUAUAACAACGACGAUUGGUUGUAUGAAGUGAAAGAGCCAGGAGGAACUACAAAUGAUGGCCACCAACAUGGAGGUCGGGCUUUCAACGUCUCCCUAACACGGUGUGAUUGCUCUUGCAGGAGGCCAUUAUUGCUUCAUCUCCCAUGCUCACACUUGUAUACCGACAGUCGUGUUAGGAAUGUGGACGUCAAUCACCCGCUCACCGUGAGGCUCUCGGAGUUCUCAAUCAUGACUGUCAAGAAUACAUGGGCUCCCUGAUUUCACCCAUACUUUAACCAAUCACAAUGGCCAGAGUACCAUGGAGUUCAAUUAUGGCCAGAUUCGGACUUGAAGGUUGUUAAACGGGGUAGACGUAAGACAAAGCAUCUUAGAGGUGACAUGGACGGAUGGGGCCAUGGUGGUGGCCACGAAUCGGCAACGACCAAUUCCAAGAGCCUCGUGAGCGCUCCCAUUGUGGGAAAUGCAAAGGUCAGGGCCACAACAAAAUAA
rnacentral:rRNA from 1 species